CCUACGGGAGGCAGCAGUGGGGAAUCUUGCGCAAUGGGCGAAAGCCUGACGCAGCCAUGCCGCGUGAAUGAUGAAGGUCUUAGGAUUGUAAAAUUCUUUCAGUAGGGACGAUAAUGACGGUACCUACAGAAGAAGCCCCGGCUAACUUCGUGCCAGCAGCCGCGGUAAUACGAAGGGGGCUAGCGUUGCUCGGAAUUACUGGGCGUAAAGGGAGCGUAGGCGGGUUAUCAAGUUGGAGGUGAAAGCCCAGGGCUCAACCUUGGAAUUGCCUUCAAAACUGAUAGCCUAGAGUAUGAUAGAGGUAUGUGGAACUCCGAGUGUAGAGGUGAAAUUCGUAGAUAUUCGGAAGAACACCAGUGGCGAAGGCGACAUACUGGGUCAUGACUGACGCUGAGGCUCGAAAGCGUGGGGAGCAAACAGGAUUAGAUACCCUGGUAGUCCACGCUGUAAACGAUGAUUGCUAGUUGUCGGACGGCAUGCCGUUCGGUGACGCAGCUAACGCAUUAAGCAAUCCGCCUGGGGAGUACGGUCGCAAGAAUUAAAACUUAAAGGAAAUUGACGG
rnacentral:rRNA from 1 species